rnacentral:rRNA from 1 species
CCUACGGGUGGCAGCAGUAGGGAAUAUUGCUCAAUGGGGGAAACCCUGAAGCAGCAACGCCGCGUGGGGGAUGAAGGUUUUCGGAUUGUAAACUCCUUUUGUUAGAGAAGAUAAUGACGGUAUCUAACGAAUAAGCACCGGCUAACUCCGUGCCAGCAGCCGCGGUAAUACGGAGGGUGCAAGCGUUACUCGGAAUCACUGGGCGUAAAGGGCGCGUAGGCGGGAUAGCAAGUCAGGUGUGAAAUCCUAUGGCUUAACCAUAGAACUGCAUUUGAAACUGUUAUUCUAGAGUAUGGGAGAGGUAGGUGGAAUUCUUGGUGUAGGGGUAAAAUCCGUAGAGAUCAAGAGGAAUACUCAUUGCGAAGGCGACCUGCUAGAACAUAACUGACGCUGAUGCGCGAAAGCGUGGGGAGCAAACAGGAUUAGAUACCCGAGUAGUC